rnacentral:rRNA from 1 species
CCUACGGGUGGCAGCAGUGAGGAAUAUUGGUCAAUGGACGGAAGUCUGAACCAGCCAAGCCGCGUGCAGGAAGAAGGUUCUGUGAAUUGUAAACUGCUUUUGUAAGGGGGUAAACGCCGGUACGCGUAUCUGUCUGAGAGUAUCGUACGAAUAAGGAUCGGCUAACUCCGUGCCAGCAGCCGCGGUAAUACGGAGGAUUCAAGCGUUAUCCGGAUUUAUUGGGUUUAAAGGGUGCGUAGGCGGUCGGAUAAGUUAGGGGUGAAAGCCCGAGGCUCAACGUCGGAAUUGCCGGUGAUACUGUUAGGCUAGAGAGUAGGUGCGGUAGGCGGAAUGUAUGGUGUAGCGGUGAAAUGCGUAGAGAUCAUACAGAACACCGAUUGCGAAGGCAGCUUACCAAGUUAAUUCUGACGUUGAGGCACGAAAGCGUGGGGAGCAAACAGGAUUAGAUACCCUAGUAGUC